GCCUCUUGAUUAAACCAUAAGAGGUCCAGCCUGCCCAGUGACAUUGUUCAACGGCCGCGGUAUCCUAACCGUGCGAAGGUAGCGUAAUCACUUGUCCUUUAAAUGAAGACUAGUAUGAAUGGCCCCACGAAAGCUAUACUGUCUCCUUUUUCUAAUCAGUUAAACUAAUCUCCCCGUGAAAAAGCGGGGAUAAACAUAUAAGACGAGAAGACCCUAUGGAGCUUCAAACAACUGAAACACUUGUAUAUCCUCCCCUCACCUGCCAACAUUUAACCUUACAUUUUUGUUUCUAGUUUUAGGUUGGGGUGACCACGGAGAAAAAACUAACCUCCACGACGAAAGAGACAUCUCUAAACAAAAAGCUACAUCUUUAUGUAUUAACACAUUAACCUUUAUUGACCCAAUAAAUUGAUCAACGAACCAAG
rnacentral:rRNA from 1 species